rnacentral:rRNA from 1 species
CGGACGGGUGAGUAACGCGUGGAUAACCUACCUAUAAGACUGGGAUAACUUCGGGAAACCGGAGCUAAUACCGGAUAAUAUAUUGAACCGCAUGGUUCAAUAGUGAAAGACGGUUUUGCUGUCACUUAUAGAUGGAUCCGCGCCGCAUUAGCUAGUUGGUAAGGUAACGGCUUACCAAGGCAGCGAUGCGUAGCCGACCUGAGAGGGUGAUCGGCCACACUGGAACUGAGACACGGUCCAGACUCCUACGGGAGGCAGCAGGC